CCAGUGACUUUGUUCAACGGCCGCGGUAUCCUAACCGUGCGAAGGUAGCGUAAUCACUUGUUCUUUAAAUGAGGACUAGUAUGAAUGGCACCACGAAGGUUAUACUGUCUCCUUUCUUUAAUCAGUGAAACUAAUCUCUCCGUGAAGAAGCGGGGAUAUAAUUAUAAGACGAGAAGACCCUAUGGAGCUUUAAACGUGAGUAACAAUUGCCCGCCAUAAUAUUUUUCCCCGGAAACUAACCACAAUACUUAGGCAUCUUGAUUACAAGUUUUAGGUUGGGGUGACCGCGGAGCAGAAAAUAACCUCCGCAGUGAAUGGAACUUACUUCCUAAACCCAGGGCUACGACCCUAAGCAUCAAUAAAUUGACACUAAUUGACCCAAUAUUUUUGAUCAAUGAACCAAGUUACCCUAGGGAUAACAGCGCAAUCCACUUCAAGAGCCCCUAUCGACAAGUGGGUUUACGACCUCGAUGUUGGAUCAGGGUAUCCCAGUGGUGCAGCCGCUACUAAAGGUUCGUUUGUUCAACGAUUAAAACCCUACGUGAUCU
rnacentral:rRNA from 1 species